GGGAAACUGCCCGAUGGAGGGGGAUAACUACUGGAAACGGUAGCUAAUACCGCAUAAUGUCGCAAGACCAAAGAGGGGGACCUUCGGGCCUCUUGCCAUCGGAUGUGCCCAGAUGGGAUUAGCUAGUAGGUGGGGUAACGGCUCACCUAGGCGACGAUCCCUAGCUGGUCUGAGAGGAUGACCAGCCACACUGGAACUGAGACACGGUCCAGACUCCUACGGGAGGCAGCAGUGGGGAAUAUUGCACAAUGGGCGCAAGCCUGAUGCAGCCAUGCCGCGUGUAUGAAGAAGGCCUUCGGGUUGUAAAGUACUUUCAGCGAGGAGGAAGGCGUUGUGGUUAAUAACCACAGCGAUUGACGUUACUCGAAGAAGAAGCACCGGCUAACUCCGUGCCAGCAGCCGCGGUAAUACGGAGGGUGCAAGCGUUAAUCGGAAUUACUGGGCGUAAAGCGCACGCAGGCGGUCUGUCAAGUCCGAUGUGAAAU
rnacentral:rRNA from 1 species